CGGCCGGCCCGGCGCUUCCUGUUACGGGUUGUAUCCGAGACAGAAACAGAAACAGCUGGUGCCAGCGGCUCGGGGAGGAAGAGGAAGUGGCUCCCGGAGCGGCAUCCUCUCUGGAGAAACCGGGAGCCGGGAACCGCAGCCGGGGCCACCCCCGGCCCCCGCUUGGGGGCGCGGAGGCGGGAGGAAGGCUGGCGACCUGGUGGCGGCUCGGCAGUAUUUGUCCUUUUGUGUGAAGCAGUUUAAUCUAAAGUGGUGUCCCAGAAGUCAACUGAAACUUGCUGUGCGAGAUAACAGACUUCAUGUAUGUUAAGCGUUGUAUCAGAUCCUUUGGGAAUCAGUGUUGUACACCAGCCUAAAUGUACCUGGAGUUAUUGUCUUUUUAAGAAAUCUGAAGAAUGUUGUUCCUUCUGCAGGAACCUUCAUGCUGAGAUGACCCUAGAUUGUUAGUAUGUCACAGUAAGAUGCCUUAAUGAAGGUAGUCAGAGUGCAGAUAACUGCCAACCUUAAAUUGAUAUAAACACAGCAAAUACAAGGGAAUAAUCAGAUCACAAGGAAGUCAGAUUCUGUGGGUAGAUUUCUGGGAGGAAGGAGCAAGAAGACAAAGGGUGAAGAAGCAAAAAGAAAAUGGACUUAGCAGUGAGAUGGACAUGUCUCCACCAUCUUGCCGCUCAAACUAACAACAAUCAUUCAAAAGCCAUCCCUAAAUCGGUGAAAUAUAUAUAU